CCUACGGGCGGCAGCAGUGGGGAAUAUUGCACAAUGGGGGAAACCCUGAUGCAGCGACGCCGCGUGAGUGAAGAAGUAAUUCGUUACGUAAAGCUCUAUCAGCAGGGAAGAAAAUGACGGUACCUGAGUAAGAAGCCCCGGCUAACUCCGUACCAGCAGCCGCGGUAAUACAUAGGGGGCAAGCGUUAUCCGGAUUUACUGGGUUUAAAGGGAGCGUAGACGGUGGGCCAAGUCUGGAGUGAAAUGCCGGAGCUUAACUGCGGAACUGCUUUGGAAACUGGCGAACUGGAGUGCGGGAGGGGUAAGCGGAAUUCCUAGUGUAGCGGUGAAAGGCGUAGAUAUUAGGAGGAACACCGGUGGCGAAGGCGGCUUACUGGACCGUAACUGACGUUGAGGCUCGAAAGCGUGGGGAGCAAACAGGAUUAGAUACCCGAGUAGUC
rnacentral:rRNA from 1 species